rnacentral:lncRNA from 1 species
CCAUGAGGCGAGCGGUGCCCGCCGAGGUGCGCCUGGCGCUCACCCUCAGCCGCCUGGGCUCCCGCACCGAGUACCGGGCGCUGGAGGCCACCUUCGGCGUGUCCCGCAGCUCCGUCUGUAAAAUCCUGCGCGAUGUCUGCGGGGCCGUGGUGGCCAUCCUGGGCCGGGGCGAGGAGGAGGAGGAGGAGGAGGAAGAAGGGGAGGAAGGGCGGAGGCUGCACCUGCCCAGGGACCCCCAAAGCUUCCCGGGGAUUUGGGGGCACGGCCCGGGGGGAGAGGAGAGAGCGAGCCGGGACACAGCAGGAGGAGGAGUGGAGGAGAAAUUCCCGAUCCCGGAGGAUUCCAGAGCGAAAUUCCCGAUCCCGGAGGAUUCCAGCCCGAAAUUCCCGAUCCCGGAGGAUCCCGGCUCCAAAUUCCCGAUCCCGGAGGAUUCCGGCCCGAAAUUCCCGAAUCCAGAGGGUCCCAGCUCCAAAUUCCCGGAUCCAGAAGGUUCCGGAGCGAAAUUCCCAAAUCCAGCGGAUUCCAGCCCAAAAUUCCCGGUCCCGGCGGAUCCCGGCUCCAAAUUCCCAAAUCCAGCGGAUUCCGCCUCAAAAUGCCCGAAUCCAGAGGGUUCUGGAGCGAAAUUCCCAAUCCCAGCAGAUCCCGGCUCCAAAUUCCCAAAUCCAGCGGAUUCCAGCCCGAAAUUCCCAAAUCCGGCGGAUUCCAGCCCAAAAUUCCCAAAUCCGGCGGAUUCCAGCCCAAAAUUCCCAAAUCCAGCGGAUUCCAGCCCGAAAUUCCCAAAUCCGGCGGAUUCCAGCCCGAAAUUCCCGGUCCCGGCGGAUCCCGGCCCCAAUUUCGGGCUCCGAUCCCAAAUCCGGAGAAGGAAAAUCCUGAGAGCGGCGAAUUCCGGCCGGGAAACUCCGGGAAGCUCCGGGGGCGCCCAAAUCCCGCCGGAAAACUCGGGAAUUCCACCCAAAAAACGCAGGAGCCCCGAAACCUCCGAAAUUCCAAAGGAAAACUCCCGAUUUUCACCGGAAAACUCCCGAUUUUUGCCAGAAAACUCCCGAAUUCCAACCAAAAAUUCCCAAAUUCCACCCGAAACUCCCCAAAAUCCACCCGAAAAUUCCCAAACUCCACCCGAAAAUUCCCAAAUUCCACCUGAAAACCCCCAAACUCCACCCGAAAAUUCCCAAAUUCCACCCGAAAACCCCCAAAUUCCACCCGAAAAUUCCCAAAUUCCACCCGAAAACCCCCAAUUUUUACCGGAAAACACCCAAACUCCACCCGAAAAUUCCCAAAUUCCACCCGAAAAUUCCCAAAUUCCACCCAAAACCCCCCAAAAUCCACCCGAAAAUUCCCAAAUUCCACCCGAAAAUUCCCAAACUCCCCCCGAAAACCCCCAAUUUUUACCGGGAACCCCCCAAACUGCCCCGGGAUUCCCGGAAUUCCCGGAUUUCCCGGGCCCGUGGCCGCUGCCCAGCCUGGCGGGGGUCCUGGCGCGGCUGCGGAUCCCGAUCCGCGCCCCCCCCAACCCCCGCAAUCGCGACAGUCGCCGCCGCAAUCGCGACAGUCGCGACAGGGCGGGGCAGGCGCUGACGCUGCAGGCCACGGUGGACGCGCGCGGCUGCCUCUGGAACGUGGAAUUCCAGCGGCCGGGAACGGCGAUCCGCCACUCGGCGCUGUUCCGGCGGCUGCAGCGGCGGCGGGAGAGCAGCGGGGAAAAAAACACUGGGAAAAACACCGGGAAUAACGGGAAAAACACCGGGAAUAACAACGGGAAUAACGGGAAAAACACCGGGAAAAACAAUGGGAAUAACGGGAAAAACACCGGGAAAAACACCGGGAAUUGUCCCGGGAAUAACGGGAAUUGUCCCAGGAAAAACACCGGGAAUGGCCACGGGAAUAACGGGAAUGGGAACGGGAAUCAUCCCGGGAAUUGUCCCGGGAAUUCAGGGGGGAACACCGGGAGUUGUCCCGGGAAUUCCGAUGGGAAUUUGGGGGAUCCCUGUGGGAAUUCGGGGAAUAUCCAUGAAAAGUCGGGGAAUACCGGUGGAAACCCGUUGACUCCCGGUUCCAAUCCCGGUUUAAACCCGGCGAUUCCCGGUGCCAAUCCCGGUUCCAAUCCCGGUUCCAAUCCCGGUUUAAACCCGGCGAUUCCCUGUGCGGUUCCCGGUUCCAAUCCUGGUUCCAAUCCCGGUUUAAACCCGGCGGUUCCCGGUUCCCAUCGCGCUCCCAGCCCGGUUUCCCCGGCCAUCCCCGCGUACUUCCUGGGCUCCCGGCGGGACCCGCUCCUGCCCUGGCUGCUGCGGCCGUUCCGGCCGGGGGAGGCCCGCUGUGACCCGGGUUCGGCCCAGUUUGACCCGGGUUCGGCCCGGUUUGACCCGGGCUCGGCCCGCUGUGACCCGGGCUCGGCCCGGUUUGACCCGGGUUCGGCCCGCUGUGACCAGGGUUCGGCCCGGAUUGACCC